GCCUGGGUGGCUCAGUCGGUUAAGCGUCCGACUUCAGCUCAGGUCAUGAUCUCGAGAUCCGUGGGUUCGAGCCCCGCAUCGGGCU
rnacentral:tRNA from 1 species